UCGGGAAUUUUGGGCAAUGGGGGCAACCCUGACCCAGCCACGCCGCGUGAGGGAUGAAGGCCUUCGGGUCGUAAACCUCUGUCGGGAGGGAAGAAGGCUCUCGGGGUGAACAAUCCCGGGAGAUUGACGGUACCUCCAAAGGAAGCGCCGGCUAACUCCGUGCCAGCAGCCGCGGUAAUACGGAGGGCGCAAGCGUUGUUCGGAAUCAUUGGGCGUAAAGCGCGUGUAGGCGGCCGAGCAAGUCGGAUGUGAAAGCCCGGGGCCCAACCCCGGAACUGCAUUCGAUACUGCCCGGCUAGAGUCCCGGAGAGGAGAGCGGAAUUCCCGGUGUAGAGGUGAAAUUCGUAGAUAUCGGGAGGAACACCAGUGGCGAAGGCGGCUCUCUGGACGGUGACUGACGCUGAGACGCGAAAGCGUGGGGAGCAAACAGGAUUAGAUACCCCCGUAGUCC
rnacentral:rRNA from 1 species